UGGGGAAUCUUGCACAAUGGGCGAAAGCCUGAUGCAGCAACGCCGCGUGCGGGAAGACAGCCCUAGGGUUGUAAACCGCUUUCAGCAGGGAAGAAACUGACGGUACCUGCAGAAGAAGAUGCGGCCAACUACGUGCCAGCAGCCGCGGUGACACGUAGGCAUCAAGCGUUAUCCGGAUUUAUUGGGCGUAAAGAGCUCGUAGGCGGUUCGGUAAGUCGGGUGUGAAAACUCUGGGCUCAACCCAGAGAGGCCACUCGAUACUGCUGUGACUAGAGUGCGGUAGGGGAGCGGGGAAUUCCUGGUGUAGCGGUGAAAUGCGCAGAUAUCAGGAGGAACACCAGUGGCGAAGGCGCCGCUCUGGGCCGUAACUGACGCUGAGGAGCGAAAGCAUGGGUAGCAAACAGGAUUAGAUACCCUGGUAGUCCACGCCGUAAACGAUGAGCACUCGGUGCCGCGGGUAUCGACCCCUGCGGUGCCUGAGCUAACGCAUUUAAGUGCUCCGCCUGGGAGUACGGUCGCAAGGCUGAAACUCAAAU
rnacentral:rRNA from 1 species